rnacentral:rRNA from 1 species
GGCGACGCUUGUGGCUUGCCUAAUACAUGCAAGUAGAAUCUGAAGGAGGAGCUUGUUCUUCUGGAUGAGUUGCGAACGGUUGAGUAACGCGUAGGUCUCCUGAGUGUUGGUGGGGGAUAACUAUUUGAAGCUACGCCUUACCUGAAAAUUGUAUGUGUCGCAUGUGUUUUCUUUUAAGGUGCUGUUGGUUUAUUACGUUUCCAUUUCCUGUGUGUGUGUCGGGGUUGAGGAUGGGCUCGCCAACGCGUGAUGCAAGGAUGCCUGUUUUGGUUCGUCCACGCGUGUGUGAGC